rnacentral:rRNA from 1 species
UGCCGAAGCAACUAGCCCUGAAAAUGGAUGGCGCUAAAGCUCCGUGCCUAUACCCGGCCGCCGGAAGGCAUAGGCGUGAGCCGCUCUUCUGGGGCGGCGAGCGCGCGAAGCCCCGGCGAGUAGGAGGGCGCGGCGGUGUGCGCGGAAGGGUCUGGGCGCGAGCCUGCCUGGAGCCGCCGCCGGUGCAGAUCUUGGUGGUAGUAGCAAAUACUCAAGCGAGGGCCUUGAGGGCUGAUGUGGAGAAGGGUUUCGUGUGAACAGCCGUUGCACACGAGUCAGUCGAUCCUAAGCCCUAGGAGAAAUCCGAUGUCGAUGCGGGGGGCCGUCUCGCGUUGCUCCCCCUCGAUGGGCGAAAGGGAAUCCGGUUCCUAUUCCGGAACCCGGCAGCGGAACCGAAUCUACGGGCCCUCGUCAGAGAAGCUCGUCGGGGUAACCCAAAGGGACCCGGAGACGCCGUCGGGAGACCCGGGCAGAGUUUUCUGUUCUGCAUAAGCGUUCGAGUUCCCUGGAAUCCUCUAGCAGGGAGAUAGGGUUUGGAACGCGAAGAGCACCGCAGUUGCGGCGGUGUCCGGGUCGUCCCCUCGGACCUUGAAAAUCCGGGAGAGGGUCACGCGGAGGUGUCGCGCCGGCUCGUACCCAUAUCCGCAGCA